rnacentral:rRNA from 1 species
CACGGUGUGGCAUCACACAGAGGUCAAAGGAGAAAUCCGCUGAAGGAUGGGCUCGCGUCCAAUUAGCUAGAUGGUGAGGUAACGGCCCACCAUGGCGACGAUUGGUAGCCGGACUGAGAGGUUGAUCGGCCACAUUGGGACUGAGACACGGCCCAGACUCCUACGGGAGGCAGCAGUGGGGAAUAUUGCACAAUGGAGGAAACUCUGAUGCAGCGACGCCGCGUGAGGGAAGAAGGUCUUCGGAUUGUAAACCUCUGUUGUCAGGGACGAUGAUGACGGUACCUGACGAGGAAGCCACGGCUAACUACGUGCCAGCAGCCGCGGUAAUACGUAGGUGGCAAGCGUUGUCCGGAUUUAUUGGGCGUAAAGCGAGCGCAGGCGGAAAAAUAAGUCUGAUGUGAAAGCCCUCGGCUUAACCGAGGAACUGCAUCGGAAACUGUUUUUCUUGAGUGCAGAAGAGGAGAGUGGAACUCCAUGUGUAGCGGUGGAAUGCGUAGAUAUAUGGAAGAACACCAGUGGCGAAGGCGGCUCUCUGGUCUGCAACUGACGCUGAGGCUCGAAAGCAUGGGUAGCGAACAGGAUUAGAUACCCUGGUAGUCCAUGCCGUAAACGAUGAGUGCUAAGUGUUGGGAGGUUUCCGCCUCUCAGUGCUGCAGCUAACGCA